rnacentral:rRNA from 1 species
AGUGAACGCUGGCGGUAGGCCUAACACAUGCAAGUCGAACGGCAGCACAGUAAGAGCUUGCUCUUACGGGUGGCGAGUGGCGGACGGGUGAGGAAUACAUCGGAAUCUACUUUUUCGUGGGGGAUAACGUAGGGAAACUUACGCUAAUACCGCAUACGACCUACGGGUGAAAGCAGGGGAGCUUCGGACCUUGCGCGAUUGAAUGAGCCGAUGUCGGAUUAGCUAGUUGGCGGGGUAAAGGCCCACCAAGGCAACGAUCCGUAGCUGGUCUGAGAGGAUGAUCAGCCACACUGGAACUGAGACACGGUCCAGACUCCUACGGGAGGCAGCAGUGGGGAAUGUUGGACAAUGGGCGCAAGCCUGAUCCAGCCAUACCGCGUGGGUGAAGAAGGCCUUCGGGUUGUAAAGCCCUUUUGUUGGGAAAGAAAAGCAGCAGGUUAAUACCCCGCUGUUCUGACGGUACCCAAAGAAUAAGCACCGGCUAACUUCGUG